GCUGGGUGUGGUGGCACACACCUGUAGUCCCAGCUACUUGGGAGGCUGAGAUGGGAGGAUUGCUUGAGUUUGGGAGGUCGAGGCUUCAGUGAGCCAUGGUGGCACCACUGCACUCUAGCCCAGUUGACAGAGUGAGAUCCUUUCUCAA
rnacentral:SRP_RNA from 2 species